AUACAGUUAAUGCAAUAUUAAUCGCCCUUUGGUGAUAUAAAAUGCAAUAUUUUCAGGCAGCUAUCGAGCUUUUCUAGAGGCAGAGCUGAUGAAAACAGUCACAGCUGAAUAGUGGAGAGAAAAAAGCUCGGUAUUUAUUGCUUUUGUUUGGCUUUUGGCUACAGAGACAGGAACAUUCUAAUGGGGAGAUGUGCUCUUCUGUGGAACAGUGAGACAAAUGAAUAAAGCUACAGCAAUAUUUACAAAGAAAGGGCAUGUGAUGACCUCAUGAACCACCCUUUAGACUUCAGUGCUUCUGGCUUUAAUAUUCUGUGCUAGAUUCACAGAGCUCUUCUACAGAUGCUAAGCGUUCAAUCCUGAAGGCUCCACUUCAUCAUCAGGAGUUUUUAAAGCUUCUUUCUAGAUUCUUAAGUGCAGCACAACAGAGAGAAAGUGGCUGUUUGGUCUUUACUGGAGUCUCUCAGGAAAAUACAGCAGAAGGCCACAGAGCUGGAAAUAUCUGCAUGUACUUCAAGUGACUUAACUGGAAAAGAAUGCUGCUGGGAUAUAUAUGGAGCAGCAGCACAGAGGAGCUCCUCAACUGCCCCUCAUCACCAUAUGAAAGAGGACAGAAUGUAUGUGCCUACUGUACUGAUCAGUGCAAUGCACAGACGGAAGGACUGGGACUCAGUUUGCUGUGGUGUGUCAUGAUUCUCAGAUCACAGAUCGACACUGCCUGUGAUUUCCUGGUGAUGAAGUUCACAGUGGCUGCAAGUCCCAGGCAUGUAUCAUACAAGCAUUAGGAGAGAACGGUUCUUGGACCUUGUAUCCACAUUAUAGAAGAGUCUAUAAGCUCCCUUUGAGCACUCCUUCUUCUAUGGCUCCACCCAGAAAGAAGAUGACCUGCACAAAUCCACAGUACACAUCUGUGUUUGCUUCAUAAACACAGCAAACACAUUUCAAUGAUCCCUAAUCAAUCUUGUUUCAGAAGUUGUUUUAUGAUACAGUAUAUGAUCAUAAUUAUGAAGUGCAUAACUGACACAUGUAUUGAUUAAAAUCUCAAAAAUGAAAAUAUCACCUUUGUGUUAAGCCUACGAUGGUACCAAGCUAAAGGCCAUAUCUCUUUUCAAAUACUACAAAGCAACAUGUAUUUUAGGACGUAGGCUUUAUAUAUUAAAUUUACUGUGUCUUUGUUGUUAUUGGUUUUGUUCCAUUUUUUGUUCCAUUGGAGGCAAUGAAACACAUUCUGGUAUGGGCUGUACUUUACAGUAAUGUCUUUAGAUUGUGGCACUGGG
ensembl:lncRNA